rnacentral:rRNA from 1 species
GACGUAGGGGGCCAGCGUUGUUCGGAAUUACUGGGUGUAAAGGGUUCGUAGGCGGUGCGGCAAGUUGGGAGUGAAAUCUCUGGGCUUAACCCAGAGGCUGCUUCCAAAACUGCUGUGCUUGAGUGUGGGAGAGGCGCGUGGAAUUGCAGGUGUAGCGGUGAAAUGCGUAGAUAUCAGGAAGAACACCCGUGGCGAAGGCGGCUCUCUGGGACGGUACUGACGCUGAGACGCGAAAGCGUGGGGAGCGAACAGG